rnacentral:rRNA from 1 species
AGUGAACGCUGGCGGUAGGCCUAACACAUGCAAGUCGAACGGCAGCACAGUAAUAGCUCGCUCUUACGGGGUGCGGGUGGCGUGCGUAUGAGGAGUACAUCGUAAUCUACUUUUUCGUGUAGGUUAACGUAAGGAAACUUACUCUAAUACCGCAGACGACCUACGGUUGAGAGCGGUGGAUCGUCUCACCGGGCGCGAUUGGAUGAGCCGAUGUUGGGUUAGCUAGUUGGCGGGGUAAAGGCCCACCAAGGCGACGAUCGGUAGCUGGUGUGAGAGGAUGGUCAGCGACCCUGGAACUGAGACACGGUCAAGACUACUGAGAGAGGGAGCAGUGGGGAAUAGUGGACAAUAGGCGCAAGUCUGAUACAGCGAUCCCGAGUGUGUGAAGAAGGCCUUGGGGUUGUAAAGCCGUUUUGUUGGGAAAGAACAGCAGCAGGUUAAUACCACGCUGUUGUGACGGUAACCAAAGAAUAAGCACCGGCUAACUUCGUG